rfam:Asticcacaulis biprosthecum C19 genomic scaffold ABI_scaffold00004, whole genome shotgun sequence.
GGGCGAGUAGCUCAAUGGUUAGAGCCGACCGCUCAUAACGGUCUGGUUGGGGGUUCGAGUCCCUCCUCGCCUA